UACGGAGGGUGCAAGCGUUAUCCGGAUUCACUGGGUUUAAAGGGUGCGUAGGUGGGUUGGUAAGUCAGUGGUGAAAUCUCCAGGCUUAACUUGGAAACUGCCAUUGAUACUAUCAAUCUUGAAUACCGUGGAGGUCAGCGGAAUAUGUCAUGUAGCGGUGAAAUGCUUAGAUAUGACAUAGAACACCAAUUGCGAAGGCAGCUGGCUAAACGAAUAUUGACACUGAUGCACGAAAGCGUGGGGAGCAAACAGG
rnacentral:rRNA from 1 species